rnacentral:sRNA from 1 species
UUUUCUUUUCCCUUCCCGCGGCCCGAGCAGGCGAUGCUGGGAGAUGUAGUUGCCUGGGGCCGGGAGGGGACAUGAUCGGGGUGCUAGGCUGAUCGGCCACUCUUCAACUAUGAAUGUCAUGGCAUAGGCUGGGCCUCCAUAACCACCAUCCUGUGUGAUGACGUGCAGCAAAUUUUGUCGGCUCCCCCAAACCGCAUCCGAGGUACAUAUAAGCGCAUGUCUUUCCUCCCGUUUAUCGACUCCCCCCACAUCACCCACGAUUUUUCCUUGGGCACCCAAAUGCCAUUUCUUGUCUCCCCCACCCGACCCAAUUCUCUCACUCCCUAACUCAAGUUACUAUUGCUGCUUGAACGAUCCUCAAGCUUAGUGAUGUCAGACAGCCUUGAUGCUCGCUGUGGGGAACGUGGACCCGGCAGAGAUGAUAUCGUCAGCUUUAUCUCUGCUUAGUCGAGAACACAACAGGGAUAGAAGCGGUGAAAUCGGAGGCUGUGUUAUUGUUUAAUUGGUACUGAAAGCCCUGAGCCUGGACAACUUUCUAAAGUAGAUUUGAGUUCAUGGCUCCGAAGGUCCGUUGCACAGUGAUGGCGUCAUAGCAGUACUCAGGACAGGAAGAGGGGAAAAAAAAAUCUUAGGUUUGGGCUCAUUCUUACAACUUUACUUUUUAGUGUGUGUGUGUGUGUGUGUGUGUGUGUGUGUGUGUGUGUGUGUUUCUGUGUUUAUGUCACAUGCAUCUGGGGGCCCAGAAAUGACAGGGGUAUCUGAUUCUUCUGGAGUUUGAGUUACAGGUGAUCGUGAACCACCAGACAUAGAGGUGCCGGGAACAGAAUCUGAGUCUCCCCGAGGUGCAACAAGCACUUUUAACUGCUCGAGCUCUCUCCAGCCCCACAAAAAAAAAUAACUUUUGCAAGAACUGAUUUGGUCUCAGAGAACUAUCUUGUGAAAGCUCCCAACAACAGGCCACUUUCAUCACGACUAGCCUCUGCUACACAGAGGGCUAAGCUUUCAACACAUGAACCGUGGCACAAGCCACAAGUAAACUAAAGUUCAGGUCUCUUAACUGGUGCCAGUCACAGGCUGGAGCUCCACCGGGAUAGUGGACUAAGCACCUGGGUGGACACCUAUGUGUUCUUGGCUUCCUCCCAGUUCGGUAGUUUUGGGGUCAUCGAUGGGUAUGCAGGAGUCUAAAAGUUAACAGUGCAGAGUAGGAGGAGGAAGACCUGAGCAGCCUUGCUAGUCCAGGCACACGCAGGAGAGACCCUGGUGACAGUUUGAAAAGAUCUAGUACAUGCUAAGAGACUGGAACGUUUGCUGGGCCUCACAGCCAGAGUUAAUUAUACACCUCUAAGUCACUCAGGACUGCCAUUCUCCUAGGUACUCAGCCUGUUUGUUUUACUUGCCCGAGAACAAUAUAGCAAUCAACUUCACUUAUCUUGCGUUUCCCACACAAUCAACGUUUUACAACCUAACAAUAACACAGAGCUGUAAUCUUAAAUUACCUACUCCCGCGCGGAUAAUUCACGGGAAAGCAGCAAACACAGAAACUGAAAGCACGUUUCUACAAUCUACCAAAAGAGUUGGAAGUCUCCGUUCCUGGAAUACAGUUGACAAACCCUGAUGCUUGUUAGCUGUGUCGGUUAGGAACAGAUGGAGUCGUAAAACUCUGUUCAAGAUUUCUGUGAAGUAUCCCAUUCUGUGCCAUUCAAUACAUACAGAGCAAGAACACUCCUGUCUCUUAAACACACACACACACACACACACACACACACACACACACACACACACACCCCUCAUACAACACAGAGAAUAGGCAGACACAGGAACAGACACAGAGGCAGGCAUAAAUUCAGGCUCAUGCAACAGACAGAGGACAGGAAACAAAGGAAGUGUGAAGUAGAGAGUUCAAAUCUGCAUUUGACUCCAAGAAGGAGAGCAUUUGUUUUUUUAACGUAACACGGAUGCAUCAUCGGUAACUCAGAGUUAAUCGCUUUUUAACCUGGGCAGGAAAUAGUGUUGUGGCCACUUUAAGAAAUAAAACCAGCAUCACGCUCACCUUUCAUGCUACAUCCAGUGCCCAGGCUGGACUUCGAACUCAAAUCACGUUAAGGCAUAUUCCUAUGCAGUCUAAUCACUACUGCUCACUCCACCCACCCAGAAGGUGUAGAUUGCCGCCAUAAGCUCCAUGGAUUCUCGGGUCCCAUUGAAGUGCUUGGUAGAGACUUUUCUCCAUUUCCAGCGAAGUUCUUGUCCCACACACCUCUAAGAGUACAAGUGGGAGGAGGUGCUUUACUGUCCAUUUGGGAUUAGCAACUUCAGAUAGGUUAAACUGGCUUAAGCACUUGGGACUUAAAUGAAACAAGGUUGAAUUCUUUGUAGCACUAACCAAGAGCAGCCUUUUUUAGAGAUAGUCUGCAGAUCACUGUCCAGCUUUCUUAAAGCGGUGGCCACAGACUUCCAAAGUUGUGGCUAGGACUAGAAGUCUGGAGCCGUGGAUCUCGGGAGCGGUGGGCUGGAAGCAGCCGCAGGAGAGCAUUCCCGUCUGCUGGCUAUCUCAGAAGUCUUGCCGGCUGAGUCAGGAACGAAUCUCCCCGCCAGCUGGCACUGGCUGAGUCACUGAGGUUGGCUUGAGGCAGAAGCCUCAGGCUUCAGUUGCUGACUAGUCUGUCCAGGUCAAUUGUGUUGGAUGGUGUUUUGCUGGGGCAAGCACGUGAAGGAGUGUUUUCCUGAAGCGGACACAGAUGAAAGGAUGUUGUGCUAGAGCAAGCAUUUUCAGGAGGCUCUUGAGGGCGGUGUUUCCAAGGAAACUGCUGAACAACAGAGUCCUAGGUAAUCCCAAAGACGGGAGGAGAAAGACCACCAACCCGAGUCAUCACGGCCGCGUUAACUAAAAUAAGGUCCAGAACGUAGAAUUCUCAGCUCCUUCUCAGCACCACGUCUGCAAUGCUUCCCACCAUGCUUCCAGUCAUGUUGAAGGCCAGAGCCCUGAAACUCCAAACAAGCCCCAUUUAAUACUUUCCUUUCUGAGAGUUGCUGUGGUCACGGUAUCUCUUCACCAGAACACUGACUAGGACAAGUUCUAGCAAUUUUUGUAGAGAAUAUGAGUUUGGUUCCUAGCCACCCACACUGGGGAAGCUAAUCACUGUCAGUAAUUCUAGCUCCAGAAGAUCCGACUCUCCUUUUUUUGGCCUCUGCAUUCACAUGU